GGGAAGAUGUCAGAGUGGUCUAAUGUGCUUGUCUCGAAAACAAGUGGGCUUUCGGGCCUCGGGAGUUCGAAUCUCCCUCUUCCCG
rnacentral:tRNA from 1 species